CAGCAGAGGUGUCGCAACCUGUGUCAGGUCACUGUAAGAUCGUAAACAGUGCUAAAAGACUGGUAUUUGCAAUAAGAGUGAUAGCUGCAUCUGAUGGGAGAAGAGUGCAUAUAAAUUGGCCAUAAAUGCAGCUGUCAGAUAUAAUAUUGAUAUGAACUCGCUGACCCAAAACUCUCAAAGUCAUACACAUUAUGCAAUACCAUUAAAAUAAUCAUCACCGUAUGAUCAAAUAGUCAGACUGACUCAAAUAAUAACUGUGCUCAGAAGAAACACACACACAAGAGAUAAGUUAUCAUCGAGGAGUAUAAUAUCUGUUUUAUUAGCUAUAAGGCCACUAUGAGCUCUUUUAGAGACAGUAAACCAUUUAAUACUGAUCUGAAACCCAAUCGCUGUAGCCAAACUUCUGAAAAUAAGACAAAAUAC